rnacentral:rRNA from 1 species
AGAGUUUGAUCCUGGCUCAGAUUGAACGCUGGCGGCAUGCCUUACACAUGCAAGUCGAACGGCAGCACGGGGGCAACCCUGGUGGCGAGUGGCGAACGGGUGAGUAACACAUCGGAACGUGUCCUAUUGUGGGGGAUAACUAGUCGAAAGAUUAGCUAAUACCGCAUAAGCUCGGAAGAGGAAAGCAGGGGACUCGCAAGGGCCUUGCGCGAUUGGAGCGGCCGAUGUCCGAUUAGCUAGUUGGUGGGGUAAAGGCCUACCAAGGCGACGAUCGGUAGCCGGCCUGAGAGGGCGGACGGCCACACUGGGACUGAGACACGGCCCAGACUCCUACGGGAGGCAGCAGUGGGGAAUUGUUCGCAAUGGGCGCAAGCCUGACGACGCAACGCCGCGUGGAGGAUGAAGAUCUUCGGGUCGUAAACUCCUUUCGAUCGAGACGAACGGCUUCCGGGCUAAUCACCGGGAGAGUGACGGUACCG